GAAAUUGACUGGCUGAUACCAUUCAGAGUUGACAAAAAGGAAACUAAUAACAGUAGCUUCUAUAAUGAAGCUAUUAACAGUAGCACAAGCACAUAAAGAAACACUUAUUUAGCUAAUAAUGCAGUAAUUUCAGCAUCAAUCAAUUACAGUGAAGCUAGCUAGUCUGUGUCUUUAUCCAUAGAUCCGCACGCCAAGAAAUUUACUCCUGAUCAAAUGUAGAUCUUUAGCAACAUCUCCCAUUUCCAUUCUUUCUUUGGUUGAUUCUGCUGAGCAAGCUACACCAAUUUUCAAUAUUGAAAGCAAGUAUUCUUUUUGGCUCAUUUCUGCUCCUUGUAUUUCUUCCUUUUUAUAUUCGCUUUCUGGUAAUGCUGAUGAUGUUGCUGAUUUUUCUUCCAUUUCUCUUGGGAGAAUGUUUUUGUCCACGGUCUCUGUAAGUCUUUCCGGCAAUGCAUUCUUCACAAAGUUGUGGAGAUUCAGACCAUCCACGAACAUUUCUUCGGUAGGUCUUUUUCCUGAGAACAUCUCUAAUAAAAGGAUCCCAUAGCUAUACACAUCCCCCUCUUUUGAGGCUGGACUACCCAUUGCAUAUUCUGGAGGAGCAUAGCCAACAGUCCCCCUUAUUCCAAUUGAGCUAGUUUGACUUUGAGAUGCAUCAUUAGUGUUCAAAAAGAGCUUAGCCAAACCGAAAUCGCUUAAAUGUGCAACCAUGUCAUCAUCGAGGAGAACAUUGCUGGGCUUCAAGUCACAAUGAAUGAUUGGAAUUUCGCAAAG
rnacentral:misc_RNA from 1 species